UGAAUGGCAUAACGAGGGCUUAACUGUCUCCUUUUUCAAGUCAGUGAAAUUGAUCUCCCCGUGCAGAAGCGGGGAUAUAACUAUAAGACGAGAAGACCCUAUGGAGCUUUUUGGUUGGGGCGACCACGGGGCCCCGACCAAGAGCUCUAAUAAACAGAUUCUGACCAGAUCCGGGAUCAACGGACCGAGUUACCCUAGGGAUAACAGCGCAAUCCCCUUUUAGAGCCCAKAUCGACAAGGGGGUUUUACGAACCUUCGAGCYUAGCCGUAAACAUUGAUAGAUCUAUCCGCCCGGGUACUACGAGCAUCAGCUUGAAACCCAAAGGACUUGGCGGUACUUUAGAUCCCCCUAGAGGAGCCUGUUCUAUAACCGAUAACCCCCGUUCAACCUCACCCUCCCUUGCCCGCCUAUAUACCGCCGUCGUAAGCUUACCCUGUGAAGGCCUAAUAGUAAGCAAAAUUGG
rnacentral:rRNA from 1 species